rnacentral:lncRNA from 1 species
CCAGACCAUUGAAAAGGAAAAUGGAAGAAAACAUACCUUGUCCAGUCGAAGACAAACAAAAAAGUACAACUGCAAGUGGCGAGAUGUAAUCAUCCUAUUGUGAGAGGACAUCUCAAUUUUCGAUGCAUUUAGAAUGAACCCUCAAUCCUCAGUUGCAUCUUACACCACAACACUGUUGAUAUUUCAACACAAUACAAUUAUCAAUUGUAGACCAUACACUGUCUUUGGUGUUGCACUAAAUUUCUGAUACCCCUUGAUGACUUUCUUCACAGCAUCUAGAAAAUCUUUCUCCGUGACAGUCUUUUCUUCUAGUCCAAACUCAACUUUACGAUCUAGCCGUCCAGGAUGCAACAGAGCUGGAUCCAGCAUGUCGGGUACGAAUAAUAUAAAUAGCCAGUAUUUAAGUGACCUCCAAAAAAAUUAAUUAUCAAGAUCAGAUAUUUUUACUCCACGAAGAACAUGACCAGACAUCUUACAAAAACCAAUUAUAAGUUAAAAUGACGAUGAAAAUAGAUCCCGAUCUCAAAAGGAGAAAUUCCAAGCAUGGUACACUGAACCUCAUUGUCUCCACCCACACUAUCAUCAAACCGAGCACCUCCAAUGGCAUCGACUUCAUCAAAGAACACAAUACAAGCUUUUUUGGAACGUGCCAUCCGCCACCGGAUAAAAAAAUCACUCUCUUAAGUAACAGACACUCGUACAAGUACUUGAAUUAUAGCGACGCGAGGAAGAUUAGCCUGAAACAGUUCACGAACCAUCCGAGUUACUUGGUAAAGAUAGCAUUGGGGCACCAUUUCAGGCAGAUUUUUUCAAUUGUGGGCCUUAU